rnacentral:rRNA from 1 species
UACAGAGGUCCCAAGCGUUGUUCGGAUUCACUGGGCGUAAAGGGUGCGUAGGCGGUCGGGUAAGUCUGAUGUGAAAUCUCACAGCUUAACUGUGAAACUGCAUUGGAUACUAUCCGGCUAGAGGAAUUGAGGGGAGACUGGAAUACUUGGUGUAGCAGUGAAAUGCGUAGAUAUCAAGUGGAACACCAGUGGCGAAGGCGAGUCUCUGGACAUUUCCUGACGCUGAGGCACGAAAGCCAGGGGAGCAAACGGG